rnacentral:pre_miRNA from 1 species
AGAGGGAUAGCUGGGUCAAAUGGUAAUUCCAUUCCCAAUUUUCCAAGGAAUCUCCAAACUGCUUUCCAUAGUGGCUGCCCAGUUGCAGUCCCACCAGCAAU